rnacentral:rRNA from 1 species
GCUAAUACCGGAUGGUUGUUUGAACCGCAUGGUUCAGACAUAAAAGGUGGCUUCGGCUACCACUUACAGAUGGACCCGCGGCGCAUUAGCUAGUUGGUGAGGUAACGGCUCACCAAGGCAACGAUGCGUAGCCGACCUGAGAGGGUGAUCGGCCACACUGGGACUGAGACACGGCCCAGACUCCUACGGGAGGCAGCAGUAGGGAAUCUUCCGCAAUGGACGAAAGUCUGACGGAGCAACGCCGCGUGAGUGAUGAAGGUUUUCGGAUCGUAAAGCUCUGUUGUUAGGGAAGAACAAGUGCCGUUCAAAUAGGGCGGCACCUUGACGGUACCUAACCAGAAAGCCACGGCUAACUACGUGCCAGCAGCCGCGGUAAUACGUAGGUGGCAAGCGUUGUCCGGAAUUAUUGGGCGUAAAGGGCUCGCAGGCGGUUUCUUAAGUCUGAUGUGAAAGCCCCCGGCUCAACCGGGGAGGGUCAUUGGAAACUGGGGAACUUGAGUGCAGAAGAGGAGAGUGGAAUUCCACGUGUAGCGGUGAAAUGCGUAGAGAUGUGGAGGAACACCAGUGGCGAAGGCGACUCUCUGGUCUGUAACUGACGCUGAGGAGCGAAAGCGUGGGGAGCGAACAGGAUUAGAUACCCUGGUAGUCCACGCCGUAAACGAUGAGUGCUAAGUGUUAGGGGGUUUCCGCCCCUUAGUGCUGCAGCUAACGCAUUAAGCACUCCGCCUGGGGAGUACGGUCGCAAGACUGAAACUCAAAGGAAUUGACGGGGG